rnacentral:rRNA from 1 species
AACGAACGCUGGCGGCAUGCCUAACACAUGCCAGUCGAACGAGACCUUCGGGUCUAGUGGCGCACGGGUGCGUAACGCGUGGGAACCUGCCCUUAGGUUCGGAAUAACUCCCCGAAAGGGGUGCUAAUACCGGAUAAUGUCUUCGGACCAAAGAUUUAUCGCCUUUGGAUGGGCCGGCGUUGGAUUAGCUAGUUGGUAGGGUAAAAGCCUACCAAGGCGACGAUCCUUAGCUGGGCUGAGGGGAUGAUCCGCCACACUGGGACUGAGACACGGCCCAGACUCGUACGGGAGGCAGCAGUGGGGAAUAUUGGACAAUGGGCGAAAGCCUAAUCCAGCAAUGCCGCGUGAGUGAUGAAGGCCUUAGGGUUGUAAAGCUCUUUUAGCCGGGAUGAUAAUGACAGUACCGGGAGAAUAAGCGCCGGCUAACUCCGUG